rnacentral:rRNA from 1 species
GAUGAACGCUAGCUACAGGCUUAACACAUGCAAGUCGAGGGGUAACAAGAGAAAAGCUUGCUUUUCUUGUUGACGACCGGCGCACGGGUGAGUAACGCGUAUCCAACCUGCCUAUAACUAGGGAAUAACCUUGCGAAAGUAAGACUAAUACCCUAUGAUUUCCUUUGAUGACAUCAGAUUAGGAAUAAAGAUUUAUCGGUUAUAGAUGGGGAUGCGUCUGAUUAGCUUGUUGGCGGGAUAACGGCCCACCAAGGCAACGAUCAGUAGGGGUUCUGAGAGGAAGGUCCCCCACAUUGGAACUGAGACACGGUCCAAACUCCUACGGGAGGCAGCAGUGAGGAAUAUUGGUCAAUGGGCGGAAGCCUGAACCAGCCAAGUAGCGUGCAGGAUGACGGCCCUAUGGGUUGUAAACUGCUUUUAUACAGGAAUAAAGUUAGCCACGUGUGGUUAUUUGUAGGUACUGUAUGAAUAAGGACCGGCUAACUCCGUGCCAGCAGCCGCAGUAA